CCUACGGGAGGCAGCAGUGGGGAAUAUUGCACAAUGGGGGAAACCCUGAUGCAGCGACGCCGCGUGAGUGAAGAAGUAUUUCGGUAUGUAAAGCUCUAUCAGCAGGGAAGAAAAUGACGGUACCUGAUUAAGAAGCCCCGGCUAACUACGUGCCAGCAGCCGCGGUAAUACGUAGGGGGCAAGCGUUAUCCGGAAUUACUGGGUGUAAAGGGAGAGUAGGCGGCAAGGUAAGCGAUAUGUGAAAGCCUUAAGCUUAACUUAAGGAUGGCAUAACGAACUAUCUAGCUAGAGUACAGGCGAGGAAAGCGGAAUGCCUAGUGUAGCGGUGAAAUGCGUAGAUAUUAGGAGGAACACCAGUGGCGAAGGCGACCUGCGAGAACAUAACUGACGCUGAUGCGCGAAAGCGUGGGGAGCAAACAGGAUUAGAUACCCCAGUAGUC
rnacentral:rRNA from 1 species